UACAGAGGUCUCAAGCGUUGUUCGGAUUCAUUGGGCGUAAAGGGUGUGUAGGUGGCGCCGUAAGUCGGGGUGUGAAAUUUCGGAGCUUAACUCCGAAACUGCAUUCGAUACUGCCGUGCUUGAGGACUGGAGAGGAGACUGGAAUUUACGGUGUAGCGGUGAAAUGCGUAGAUAUCGUAAGGAAGACCAGUGGCGAAGGCGGGUCGUCUGGACAGUUCCUGA
rnacentral:rRNA from 1 species